rnacentral:rRNA from 1 species
GGGCGUAAAGAGCUCGUAGGUGGUUUGUCGCGUUGUUCGUGAAAUCUCACGGCUUAACUGUGAGCGUGCGGGCGAUACGGGCAGACUUGAGUACUGCAGGGGAGACUGGAAUUCCUGGUGUAGCGGUGGAAUGCGCAGAUAUCAGGAGGAACACCGGUGGCGAAGGCGGGUCUCUGGGCAGUAACUGACGCUGAGGAGCGAAAGCGUGGGGAGCGAACAGGAUUAGAUACCCUGGUAGUCCACGCCGUAAACGGUGGGUACUAGGUGUGGGUUUCCUUCCUUGGGAUCCGUGCCGUAGCUAACGCAUUAAGUACCCCGCCUGGGGAGUACGGCCGCAAGGCUAAAACUCAAAGAAAUUGACGGGGGCCCGCACAAGCGGCGGAGCAUGUGGAUUAAUUCGAUGCAACGCGAAGAACCUUACCUGGGUUUGACAUGCACAGGACGCCGGCAGAGAUGUCGGUUCCCUUGUGGCCUGUGUGCAGGUGGUGCAUGGCUGUCGUCAGCUCGUGUCGUGAGAUGUUGGGUUAAGUCCCGCAACGAGCGCAACCCUUGUCUCAUGUUGCCAGCGGGUAAUGCCGGGGACUCGUGAGAGACUGCCGGGGUCAACUCGGAGGAAGGUGGGGAUGACGUCAAGUCAUCAUGCCCCUUAUGUCCAGGGCUUCACACAUGCUACAAUGGCCGGUACAAAGGGCUGCGAUGCCGCGAGGUUAAGCGAAUCCUUUUAAAGCCGGUCUCAGUUCGGAUCGGGGUCUGCAACUCGACCCCGUGAAGUCGGAGUCGCUAGUAAUCGCAGAUCAGCAACGCU